AGGGGCAGCAUGAACUUAGCUUGCUAAGUUUGAUGGCGACCGGCGCACGGGUGAGUAACACGUAUCCAACCUGCCGAUGACUCGGGGAUAGCCUUUCGAAAGAAAGAUUAAUACCCGAUGGCAUAGUUCUUCCGCAUGGUAGAACUAUUAAAGAAUUUCGGUCAUCGAUGGGGAUGCGUUCCAUUAGGUUGUUGGCGGGGUAACGGCCCACCAAGCCUUCGAUGGAUAGGGGUUCUGAGAGGAAGGUCCCCCACAUUGGAACUGAGACACGGUCCAAACUCCUACGGGAGGCAGCAGUGAGGAAUAUUGGUCAAUGGACGAGAGUCUGAACCAGCCAAGUAGCGUGAAGGAUGACUGCCCUAUGGGUUGUAAACUUCUUUUAUACGGGAAUAAAGUGAGGCACGUGUGCCUUUUUGUAUGUACCGUAUGAAUAAGGAUCGGCUAACUCCGUGCCAGCAGCCGCGGUAAUACGGAGGAUCCGAGCGUUAUCCGGAUUUAUUGGGUUUAAAGGGAGCGUAGGCGGACGCUUAAGUCAGUUGUGAAAGUUUGCGGCUCAACCGUAAAAUUGCAGUUGAUACUGGGUGUCUUGAGUACAGUAGAGGCAGGCGGAAUUCGUGGUGUAGCGGUGAAAUGCUUAGAUAUCACGAAGACUCCGAUUGCGAAGGCAGCCUGCUGGACUGU
rnacentral:rRNA from 1 species